CAGCCGCCGCGGUAAUACGAAGGGGGCUAGCGUUGCUCGGAAUGACUGGGCGUAAAGGGCGCGUAGGCGGCGAUCAAAGUCAGGCGUGAAAUUCCUGGGCUCAACCUGGGGGCUGCGUUUGAUACUUGAUUGCUAGAGUGGGGAAGAGGGUCGUGGAAUUCCCAGUGUAGAGGUGAAAUUCGUAGAUAUUGGGAAGAACACCGGUGGCGAAGGCGGCGACCUGGUCCUUGACUGAUGCUGAGGCGCGAAAGCGUGGGGAGCAAACAGGAUUAGAGACCCCCGUAGUCCCUGUCUCUUAUAC
rnacentral:rRNA from 1 species